ensembl:lncRNA
GGAGGAGCACAACUAUCUUGCAAAGAAAUGCAGCCGCAAAAAAAAAAAAAAAUUUGGAUCUCAAUUUCACACUAGCUGUUCAAAACUUACGUCACACAAUACCCCCACUGUUUCUCUCCACUAGCAGGCACCCUACAUGUCAAAUACAUAACGGCCUAAAUCAAACUUUAGAUUAAGGAAAAGAAAUUGAAGACAAAGGAUGUCUGACCAUUUGAUUUAUUGAAUCAUUUGAGAGAACAAGGACAAAACAAAUGAGCAGGAGUCACUUUACAGUCGCCCCAUACACAGCCUAUAUUAACAUUAGGAGGCAAUCUUUUUCAAAGCCACAUGGAAGACAUAACCCACCUAAUUCUACUGUCCUCGGUCCUCAAUUUCGUGGGAAAGAUUUCCUAUCAGAUUCUGAAAAAUCCACAAAUUUAAGUGCGAAUGGGUCUUUUUCAUAAUGCAUAUAACUGGGUGGUUUAUAGUAUUGGGGUGGCUCUUUGGGAGGCUGGUUGGCAGAAGGUUUGCAUUCAGCUGCUGCAGUUGUAGUACAGGGUUGAGGAGUGGUGGUUAUAGGUGGUGCGGUAGGGGUUUUCUGAGGUUGCACUGGGUAUUGUGGAUAAAAUUGCUGCAAAUAAUCUGGGAAAUUUGGGUAAUGGCUAUGCUGAGGGAAUAGACUUCCAGGGUACACUGGGGGUUGCGGUUUCUGGUUUAUUGCUGGCGAAUCUGGUGGGAGAGGAGUGGGGAUGGCUGGAGCUGGUUUCACAGUAGUAUUUGGUUUGCCAUGAUAGUCACUGUAGUAAUAUGGCCACAUAUGGGGUUGCCUUGGAAACUGAGGUUUCUGGGUUGGCACUUGGCCAUCUGAUGGAGAUAGCCCUGCUGGCUUAGCUGUGGGAUAUGGCCACAUCAUAUGGGGGUACUUAGGAAACUGAGGUUUCUGGGUUGGCACUUGGCCAUCUGAUGGAGAUUGCCCUGCUGGCUUAGCUGUGGGAUAUGGCCACAUCAUCUGGGGGUACUUCGGAAACUGAGGUUUCUGGGUUGGCACUUGACCAUCUGAUGGAGAUUGCCCUGCUGGCUCAGCUGUGGGAUAACCCUUGCCAGGAUAACGGGAGUAGGGAUAUGGCCACAUCAUAUGGGGGUACUUCGGAAACUGAGGUUUCUGGGUUGGCACUUGGGCAUCUGAUGGAGAUUGCCCUGCUGGCUCAGCUGUGGGAUAACCCUUGCCAGAAUAUUGGUAACGAGGGUAGUUGUAAGGCCAAAACCCUUGCUGAAACUCUUCAGGGUAGCCGUAAAAUGGCGGUUUGAGAGCUGCAGAUAGUUCUGGCAUUGUACUUAUUUGUAGAUUAAAUUCAUCAGGAUAAAGGGGAGGCAGCAGAAUCUGCUGAUAUGAAGGAUCAUGAGGUCCUAGAAAAGUGUCGUUUGCAGUUGUAGAGGUCAUAGGACAAGAAAUGACUGCACGGUUUCCCUGCCAUUGCAUCUGCAUCACAUAACUCCCUCCCUGAAAGACAUGAACAUUCAGGUUGGUCUUCCUAACUCUGUGUACAUACUAAAUGGAACAGAGAAAGUAAUACCUGUUGUGCAACGCCACAUCCAUCAUAGGGGGUAGCAUAGAUAAGACCACCAUAAGUGGGUAUGGUAGAUCCACAGUUAGGCGGCAACUCACUGAGGGGAACAGCUGCCCCAUUACC